CGCGUAGGCGGUCUGGUUAGUCAGAUGUGAAAGCCCAGGGCUCAACCCUGGACGUGCAUUUGAAACAGCAAGACUUGAGUACGGGAGAGGAAAGCGGAAUUCCUGGUGUAGAGGUGAAAUUCGUAGAUAUCAGGAGGAACACCGAUGGCGAAGGCAGCUUUCUGGACCGAUACUGACGCUGAGGCGCGAAGGCGUGGGUAGCGAACAGGAUUAGAUACCCUGGUAGUCC
rnacentral:rRNA from 1 species